ACCCAUCAUUGUCCAGGGGUUUGAGAGAAGGCCUUUUAUUACUGUAUUUCUUUUCCCUUUCCUCAAAGAAACCUCCACCCAGCUCGGGUGCCAGUGCAGCUGAGGACCAGCCUAAUCCUGCCACGCUCACUGCUGCAGAAGGUGCAAGGAAAGCUUUGUUACUUCGUGGGGGCUGAUGAGCAGAAGCACAAGAGGCUCAGAACUGCCGGGAGGGAGGGUUGAUCGCUACUGGAACCAGCUGUUAGCUCCAGGUGGUAGGGCUUCCCCAGGUGAGACGCGUGAUGGGCCAGGCAGGAGGCUACAAAAAGGGGCUGGAUGGCAGGUUCUUGGUUUUGGAUGGGAAAGGACCGGUGAGGAAGAUGGGGGCUGUCUUCUUUUAGCUGGGUUUUCUCCAGAGCAGCGCAGCUUUGAUUCAAAGCGUUGCAGAGAAAAGACUUCUCCAGUCAAGCAGGGAUGGAGAGCGGCUGGAGGAAAGCUGUUUCAUUGCACUCUGUCACAUCCCUGCUGUGGGCUUUGUUCGUAAGUACUUUUCUUGUUGUCAUGUGAUUUUUAAAAAUCACCUUUUAAAUCACUUUGAAAAGCAUCCAUUGAAGUCUGGUCAAGCAACAGCUUUGGGGAGCAGAACUGUGCAUAGUGCUGUGAAAGCUGUAAACAGAGCGGAGAGCAUCAUUGAUUUAUUGUACUUCAGCACUUUGUCUAUGCAUUAAAUGCUGGCGAGCGUCUCGCGAGGGUCCCCCAGUGCGUUCGCUCGGUGCAGCGUUUCGCAGCCCCUGCCUCUCCUUUACACGCUCGCGGCGGUUCCGGGGGGCAUGGAGCUAGGGGCAGGCUGAGCCCCCUGGACAGACGAAGACAUCCCAGCGUGCGGGGCUCGGCCGUCCCUUCUGCGCCGUGCAGCGGUGGCAGCGUGGGCUGCCCCGCCGCGAGAUGCCCCCUGCGCCCGUGGGAGGCCCAGCACCCCGGGGGGCCGUGGGGUCCCUGGGGGAUCCAGGGCUGGCACAUGGAGCGGGGCGGCCCCGGCCCUGCAGGCCCCGCUGCGGGAUGGCGCCCACCUCGCGGCACUGGCACGGCAGCCACCGGCCUGGCGUUGGCAUCGCCUCCGGGGACGACUUCGCGGGCCUCGGCGUGGGUCCAGCUCUGCGUGCCUGGGGGGGCGGAACUUCCUCGCCUGCUCGUGCUUCAAAGCAGAUUUGAUCUCCGCGUUCAAUAAGAACAUGUCCUGGCUAAAUCCCUUUUUUAAAGACCCUGAUUUCCUUUCUGUCUUUGAGGAGGUUGAUUCUCCUUCGCCUAAUUAAAAGCCUGAUUUCCACGAGGAACCUUUGAGUUUGCUGGGUUUGCUGCUGACUUUCCUCCGGCGGGUCUGCGGUGCUGGCGGCCCAGCGGCGCUGGCUCUCUGCUCCACCGGGCGGGCGAGGCCGUGCCAUGUAAACGGGGCAAACUCAGGCUCAGAGGAACUGAAAGGCACACAAAUGUCAGAAAUAAGUGAUCAAGAAGCCCCCCAAAGGUAAAUGGAUUUCAAUCGCACC
rnacentral:lncRNA from 1 species